GGCUACCUGGCGCAAUGGUAGCGCGUUUGGCUUCGAUUGCUGGGCGUUACCAAAAGGUUGCAGGUUCGAGUCGUGCGGUGGUCA
rnacentral:tRNA from 1 species